CGGGACGCUGGGCAGAGCCCUGUU
rnacentral:piRNA from 1 species